UAGCAUAGAGCGUAAAUGAUGCACAAGGUAGAACACCUAAAGAUCCGGCUAGCUAGCUAUUUGGAAAUAGUUUUCAUUGAUCAGCCAAAAAGGCUUCAUUACCAAAGCGAAUUGCUUUCCUAUGAAAGAAAUCAACCUACAUAGAAGCCUCACUUGCAUUUCCUGUUAUACAUAAAUGUCAACAUCGAUGAACUACUUUAAUGUCAAUCAGAAUGAGAUUGGCUCAUUGAAAGGGAUUGUCAUAUUCCUUCACAAGUCCUCAGUUGAAUCAAUCCCACUGAAGCCUUUGCGAUGUGUAGUAAUCCGAUGUCUAUUUCGGUGUGCGUGUGAGGCCAGUUGCAACAAAGCAGCAAGCAUUGCAACAUGAUGUUAUCAAGGUAUCAAUAUGUGUAUGCUUCUCAUUAUUAUCAAAGGAAUGAAUAAUAAUGCUAUCUGUGGCCAUAAGCCUCUAAAUUCACCUAUUUUUUAAUCCUGUUUUGACUCUUGACUAGGUGUAGGACGCCUCUGAACAAGAAACCGCUUUGUGCUUUCUAAUACACCAAAGAAGAUUGAACCACCAAUGCCUAUCCACAAAACUCUUGGCUCUAUCCCCUGCAGUGUCAGCCCAGAAUCCAAAACAAGAAUGAGAAUAUUUUUUUUCAAUAUGCCAAUAUUUUUCUACUUUAGGUUGAUGAAUAUCAUUCUCAAAAUAACCAUCAUUUCAUAACCUACAAAUUCUCAUAAUUUCAUACAGCUAUAACAUUUAUUUCUUUAUUUAUUUUAGUUACCAGGUCACAUCAGUCUAAUUAUAAAAUCAAUAUAAUUAUCUACGCAUGGUUGUAUAUAUCAGCUUCUGCAAACAUAUCUAAAACAACAUACAUGAAUGCAAAAGGCUUGAGUGAGACAAAAAUAACAAAAGAGGACCCAACUGACUUCACUAGCUGUUCACAAUUAUCAGAUUAUUAAGUACAGAACACCUGAAGCUUGUGGCAUUGUAUGCUCAAGAGUCAAGAGAUGACCUCUUGACUUUUUUUUUUCUGCAUUAGAAUGAAAAUGGUCAAGCUAAUUGGUGUGAGACCAUUUAUUCUCAAAUAGUAGCACUGAAUAUUCUAUAAGAUACAGAAAUAUUCAUUUGACAUUGAGUUUGUAAAAUGCAAAAGGAAAUAUGGAUGAUACACACCUUGAGAAGAGCAGUAGGUCCUUCUUCUCUAACAAGAGUUUGAACACAAUCAAAGAUCCCGUUGUACUGGUUAGCAGAACCCUGAACCAUUAACCUUGUCUUAAUCACAUCAAGUGGUGUAGUUAUAGCUCCAGUUAGUGCACCAGCAAAAGCACCAAUGAUAGCAUUUUCUGGAUCAUUCAAUUCUCUCCGUGCCUGCCAAAAAAAAAGAGCGAAAAAAAGUUUUUAUGCAAAUUCGACAUGCUAAUUUUUAUUGCUUCUCUCUGCUAAGAAAGAUGUCAGUUACUUAACAACUGACAAAUUUUUGACUAAAUAUUUCCAUCAAUCACCUAAAAGUCAUUCUUGCAAAUAUUUUUGAGAUUACAAAAGCAUAAAAUAUGGAGCUAAAUAAGAGGCAUUCAAGUAAAAAGUGUGCAGCAGGAUGAAGGAAUGGCAAGCUGUCAAGCAACAGGAAUACACAACGCAACUUUGAGUGUCAUUUCACGAAAGAUGAGAGGUAUACCGCCACUUUAUACCCUAACCGAAGUUGUUCAUAGAUACAAAACUGAAUCGCAUCAAAUGGCAAAUCUCUCAGUAAAAAUGAUCCAUAUCCCGCAUAGAGCCCCUUAAAACCUUCCUUAGAGACAAUGAGGCGGACAGCAUCAGGGGCUGAGGCAAAUUGCCCAGUCUGCAUUCUUUGCUUAACAACCUCUGUUGGAACACGAAUUAGAGAAGCAGCAACCCCUCCAAUGGCACCUGCAGUUAGAUGAGCUACAGCACUAAGAUUUUCAGGAAACAUCCUCAACAAUUUCUGCUUUGUAGGCUCAUACACUCCAACAAAUAAUGCAGAAGCCGGUAAGACACCAGCAAGAUUUCCAGCUAAUCCAGAGUAAAGACCCUUCAAAAUUAUUUUUCCACCACCACGAGCUGCCUGAAGCCUUGUCUUUAUUGUGUCGAUUGGAUAUAAUGCCGUUUCAACUACAACACCAGCUAUACCUCCUGCUAUAACUCCCUCAAAUAAAGCACGCAAAAAAUCGAAUUGUUUUUCUUCUUGCACUCUCAUGGAUGCAAAAGGCUUUCUUGUUUCCAUGUGCGAAGAGUUUUGCAUUUUCCGAAUUGGUGCAUCUGAAGGGACCUUGGAAGAGCCUCUUGCAUCGAUAGCUAAUGUAAAAGGACCCAUCAGAGGUGUCCAGCAACAAACUAGAGUAUGAAGAAGGCAGCACAGCAGCUUCGGUCUAGUGGAAACUGCUACAGAAGGAGAUGAUGAGAAUGAGAACGUUCAAAACCAACCUCAUAUGCUUGGAAGUAUUAUUAA
rnacentral:misc_RNA from 1 species